rnacentral:lncRNA from 1 species
UGGUUCCAGCAGCUGAGUUCUUCAACAGAUCCAUUGAUUCAGUGAUGCUUUACAUGCACGGUUACAAAAAUAAAACUUACAAAAGAGAAGACAUCUAUACUAGUUUUACAUGCAAGUCUUGGGGACCCCCCAUUGGGCACCAGCUAUUGUGUGGAACUGCCAUAAGCGUGCAACCAGAGAGGGGGUUCAUGUUAUAUUUUGUAUUUCUUUCACACAGUAUUACUGCUGUCAAAUGCGUUUCACAAAGGAGCAAUUCCACGAUCAGAAGACAGAAGGUUUGGCUCCUGGCACUUGGGAAUCUGAACCUUCCCGGGAAGCUGCACUUAGUUUAUCUUCUGUGAGAACACAAGUUCCACAAUGGAGAAAAGGGAAAAGGUCGGUUCGUAUCGUCACAACUGGCUGAUGUGUGGAGCAACGCUUCGGUUCCAGAAUAUCAGAGUUCCUCCAGUGUUAAUACAGAGCAUUUCCUAUCCAUCGCAAAGGAGAUUCUUCUGCAUUUCUGGUUUUGUGUGUAAGGACAAUUUAACAGGUAAAGUCCUGAUUCCAUACAAUAAAUGGAGGUUAUGAGCUGCCCAAAGCCACAGCAUGAGAACCAUUCGGUUUUACCUUUUUUUUUUUUAAUUGAAUCAGGUCAUAAAGCAGCAAUUCAGAAAUGUACAAUAGAAUUCUGAUAAUGAGCUAUAGCACACACCUACUGUAAUUCAAUGCUGGCAGUGAAAAGAA